GAAACCAGUUUAACAGGAUGUUGAGCCAGUCUCCUUGGAGGUGAUGACUCUGCCUUGUCCAACGACAGCCUUCAAAGGCUUGCUGUAAGGAGGAAGACACCGAAAAUAGGCAUUAAAAUGAAGACUCCAUUUGUUACUCCAUUGGUUACUUUCCGAAUAGAGAAUAGAUCCCAUAAGAAGAUGAAGAUCAACUAGCAAAAUCGGUUGCAAAUAUUAUUGACGGUGGUAUUUACAAAGAAGUAACCAAUGUUUUAAGGAUAUGUCAGCAGUAAGCAUUUUUUUCCUGAGGAAAUGUAUGUCCUGUUUUCUAAUAGGUGUGCAUUCUUCCUGCUUACAGCAAGGGAGAAAGCUCUGAUACAACUAAAAUCCAUUUACUCUUCAACAGCACAUAUAAGCUGCGAACUAAACCCUGUCUAGGCAGCAAACUAUAACCUUGCGUUAUCUACUUUUCUUCUGGCUUUCUUGGAGCUGCUGUUAAUACUAUAUUAGUUUAUUGUUCAGAAUAUAGUUAAUGAGUGCCAAGAUAUGACAAGAAGAAUGAAUUUCACACUGGUUAAUUGGCUGAGGGGCCUAAUCAACCCUUCUCUGUGACAUCUGAAGAAGCACUCAGGCUUCCAGGAUAGACCUAGAGGUCAUUGCUCCUGGCAGCUAGGCUGAGAGGUUGAAGAGAUAUUUACCCUCUCCCUGCAGAAGAGCUAGAGUCCAAGGAAAACUGCUAUUUAUCAAAGUCUUCCCGCAGAAGGAGAGACCUGAUAAUUUGCCAGCAAUUGAGCACAGCAGGUGUGUGUGUAAGAGUUUGCUGUUUUAUUUGUCUUGGAAUGCAAAGACCCUAAAACUACUCAAACUUUUAUGUGUCUCAGCCAGAUUGCUAUGUCGCUUCUCUGGGAAAACGUCUGAAGCUCAGAAGAUUUGCUGUAGGCCUGGAUUUACUGUGCUGUCUUGCCAAGGAUGGAUGGAAAGGGGGAAGUUAUGGCUAGAUAAUACCUAAGAAGAGGAGAUGAUCCACAUGUCUACACGUUCUCCAGAAUACUUAAGGCAGUGUGCCACAACUCAUUAUUACCAAGAGGAGCUUCAAAGCCUCAUCUGGGAUUGGCACCCCCAUGUGUCAGGUCAGCUUGGAAAGGCUUGGAGUGAACUGCGCAGAGUGGACGCUGGGGAGAGAGGGGGCAAAGAGGUAACUUGGCUGGCCCCGGAUGGCAGCAAGUCGGGAGAAGAACUAAGUCACCGAACUACAUGUCCUGCCUCCUGGCUGAAAACACCUCCCUGCCCCUCUCUUUAACAUGAUUUUUCCUGAUCCCUCAGUCAGCACAGUGGAAAAUCAGUCCAACCUCAGAAGGAACGUGAUACGCAGCACUUAACAUGUUUCUUGCUUGGUAUGUUCUUGUAUAUGUUUUUUUAAUGACUUUCUUUUAGUUUCAAGGAGCAGCUUAGAAAAUGGACAGUAACUCUGUAUGAAAGGAAACCUUUGCUGCAGGAGCUGUACCCAUGUUUAUUACAGUCUCAGCUUAGAUGGAUACAGAUUUGUGACCUGGCCCACGGGGAGUGAUCAUUUGGGGAGGUGAUGGUAACAACCCUACACCGGAGGUGGAUGUGAUGCCUCAACAAGCCUCAACGUGGGAGCGCCUUCACAUGGCUCCUGGGCAGCCGGCAGCGUGCCCUCCGCUGGCCUGGUCCUGUUUCCUGGGGGUUUCUGUAGGGUGGGUUAACUCACCCUGGGAUGCACAUGCUGGCUCCCCCGAGGACUUGCUCCUGCAAAGAAGAGCAAAAGGGAGCAGGAGGAGAGCUGGCGUGGCGCCUCAUCCUACCUCCUGCCUUUACCCGUGCUCAGUGCCUGCCUCCAAAAAGGUUCCAGGCAGUUGCUGAGCUUUUCGUCUUCUGUUGUGUGCACAGCUGGAACAAAAUGUGUGGUUCGCAGAGCCUGACUUGUCAAGGAAGGAGAGUUUCAAAGGAACAAACUUUGAGAAAAGGAGCUUAAAAGAGAGUUUUGUUAUUACUAGGCGCUGGGGAAGGCCCUGCAGAGAUGCCUGUUAGUGGUAUGGACACCUCUGUCCUUGCACCUGUGGCAGCAGAGAUCCUCCAUGGGCUCUGAGGUGCUUUCUCCUCCCCACGCUGGAGCUGCUAACUCAUGUUGGUGCAGGCAGCCUGGGCCGGGAGAUACCUGCUCCAUCGUAGGCCGUGUUUCUUCCUGUGCCCAAAGCUCUGCACGUGAUAGAAAGACACAAGGGGAGGGAGGAGGGGUGAGUUUGGAGCCGGGCGCUCAAGCUAAGGAUUUCUGGCUAUUCUUAUGCUUGCAUUCUUCUACUUAGAAAUGAUUCAGUUAUUCUUCCUCUUAUGGUAUAAUAGGCCCCGUAAGAAAUUUCCUGUGUUAACAAAAAGUUGUUAUUGCAUAACAUCAUUCUUUCAAUAUAUUCUUCUCCUUGGGGAGAAAACUGAGGAGCAGAAAGGUUAAAUGUGAGAUUGUCAAAGGAGUUGCCAUGACUGAGGAGCAUAGACUUUCUCUUGUCUAAAGCUCCUUUGGAACUUGGCUCCAGAUGAUGCAGAAAGCUAAUUUUCUUUCUUUAUUAUUCUUCUUAUUAUUAUUUACGAAGCUGAAAGCGAGGUUUAGCUCAUGUAGGGAGCAGGGCGUACUUUUCCGUGUGCUAGACACUCCUACUUCAGUCCUCUGCUUUGCAAUGGGCCUCCUCCAUGGAAUUCUUUGGGAUUUAAUAGGCUGAAGCGUGCAGCCGUUGGUGGGACCGGCUAGGUUUGUACACUGGCGAUCUGGAGCACAAAAUCCUAAGAAGCCAUCAUCCUGGACAGGAUGAGCAGCCUCUUCUCAGAAUUCCCUGUCCUGACCACCAGAGACAGCCUCCCACUGAAAUAUUGUCAAAUAGUGACUACUGGUCUGCACAUCAUGGUGCCAGUGCCAUGUACUUUGUGAUUAGAGACAUGGCCUCCAACGGCUGUAAAUGGUAUGGGAAUUACAAAGUAACUACAGGGCUGAAUAAAAAAUGCUUUGUUAAAGGGGGAAAAAAAAGG
rnacentral:lncRNA from 1 species